UACGUAGGGUGCGAGCGUUGUCUGGAAUUAUUGGGCGUAAAGAGCUCGUAGGCGGUGUGUCACGUCGGCCGUGAAAACCUGCAGCUUAACUGUGGGCGUGCGGUCGAUACGGGCAUCACUGGAGUUCGGCAGGGGAGACUGGAAUUCCUGGUGUAGCGGUGAAAUGCGCAGAUAUCAGGAGGAACACCGGUGGCGAAGGCGGGUCUCUGGGCCGAUACUGACGCUGAGGAGCGAAAGCGUGGGGAGCAAGCAGG
rnacentral:rRNA from 1 species